AAAGUACUCCCUCCGUCCCAAAAUUCUUGUCUUAGAUUUGUCUAGAUACGGAUGUAUCAUCUAGAUAUGGAUGUAUCAAGUCACAUUUUAGUGUUAGAUACAUCCGCAUCUAGACAAAUCUAAGACAAGAAAUUUGGGACAGAGGGAGUAGUUG
rfam:Triticum aestivum genome assembly, contig: Triticum_aestivum_CS42_TGACv1_scaffold_146334_2BS